GCACGUGUCCGUGUUUACGUCCCUCGUGGAGCUGGACGACGUCAGCAGCAGAAUGGUAACAUUGUUGCGGUGAUGAGGCGGAGAGUUUAGAGAGACGCGUCCGGCUCUGGUUGGGGUGGGAGGGGGCCGGCCUUGGCGUUCGGGGCUGACAGAGCAAGUCGACCCUAACGAUCCUCGGACUGCAUCCGCUUCCAGCCCUUCCCUGCUGCUUGCUUAGGCGUCCGGACGUACGUGGGGGCCUCGGUCCCUCUGACGGGAAAGGAGCGGCGAAAAGCGAAGCGGAGCGGGGGGGCGGCGGCCGAAGAGGAGCGAGUUGCCGCAGCGCUGGCGCUUGUAAACAGAUCCCUUCACACGUGACCAUGUGAACUACCUGCUCGGGCGACGCGUAUUGUCUUUCUCGGCGGCCGGAGCCGAGCAACCGCCGCCGCCUCGCGCGCCACAAAGAGCGCGGCCGAGCCCCGGGGCCGCGAGCGCCUGUGCGCGAGACCGAGCGCAAGCGCGACCCGGACUCGCUCCCCCCAGUCCUCCUCCCGCUCUAAGAUGGCUGAUGGUGGCCGGUGAGGGGGGCGGCCGGGGCCGGUGAGUUUUUCGGAGCAGAGCGGGCGAGGGGGAGAGGGGGGCAGCCGGGGGCCCCGGCCCCGCCGCCCCGAGAGGAGACCCAGCCAUGUCGUUCGCGCUGGAGGAGACGCUGGAGUCGGACUGGGUGGCCGUUCGGCCGCACGUCUUCGAGGAACGGGAGAAGCACAAGUUCGUCUUCAUCGUGGCCUGGAACGAGAUCGAGGGCAAGUUUGCCAUAACCUGUCACAACCGCACGGCCCAGAGGCAGAGGAGUUGCUCCCGGGAGCCGGCGGCCGCCCGCGGCGCCGCCGAGGCCGGGCCCCCGCCGGACAGCCCGGGCCCCCGGAGCGCCGGCGGCAGCCCGGUCUCGCGUGGCCGAGGGGAGCCGGCCGCCGGCCGCAGGAGCCCCAGCCUGCGACGGAGCCCGGCCUGGGCGGAGGGUGGCGCGGGGCGGAGCGCGCACCCGCGGGGGGACGCCUCGCCCCGGAGCCCCGCGGCCAAAGCCGCCGACCCGGCGCGGGCCCCGACCAGCCCGGGCCGAAAAGCCCCGGGGAAGCGGGACGCGGUCCCGGCCGAGACGCCCGGCACGUCGUCGGUGCGGGUGGUGAGCGCGUCCGGCGCGGCCGCCGAAGAGAUCGAGGUGUUGGAGCUGGUGAAGGAGGACGAGGCGGCGCCGACGCUCCUGGAGCUGCCCGAGCCCGAGGCGCCCGAGCCGCCCGCCGAGCUGGACUCGCCCCCGGAGGAGUGCAGCUGGGCCGGGCUCUUCUCCUUCCAGGACCUGCGCGCCGUGCACCAGCAGCUGUGCUCGGUGAACUCGCAGCUGGAGCCCUGCCUGCCCCUCUUCCCCGAAGAGCCGUCGGGCAUGUGGACCGUGCUGUUCGGGGGGGCCCCGGAGAUGUCCGAGCAGGAAGUGGACAGCCUCUGCUACCAGCUCCAGGUCUACCUGGGCCAUGCCUUGGACACCUGCGGCUGGAAGAUUCUCUCGCAGGUUCUUUUCACGGAGACGGACGACCCGGAGGAGUAUUACGAGAGCCUCAGCGAACUGCGGCAGAAGGGCUACGAGGAGGUGCUGCAGCGGGCCCGGAGGCGCAUCCAGGAGUUAUUAGAAAAACAUAAGAACACAGAGAGUAUGGUGGAGCUUCUUGACCUGUAUCAGAUGGAGGAUGAAGCAUAUAGCAGUCUUGCAGAAGCCACAACUGAAUUAUACCAGUACUUACUACAGCCAUUUCGAGAUAUGCGGGAACUUGCAAUGCUAAGAAGACAACAGAUAAAGAUUUCUAUGGAGAAUGAUUAUCUGGGGCCCCGUAGAAUUGAAAGUCUCCAAAAAGAAGAUGCUGAUUGGCAACGCAAAGCCCACAUGGCUGUGUUGUCUAUUCAAGAUCUCACUGUCAAGUAUUUUGAAAUAACAGCUAAGGCUCAAAAAGCUGUGUAUGAUAGGAUGCGAGCAGAUCAGAAAAAAUUUGGUAAAGCAUCAUGGGCAGCAGCAGCUGAAAGGAUGGAAAAACUUCAAUAUGCAGUUUCAAAGGAAACUUUGCAAAUGAUGAGAGCUAAAGAAAUCUGUUUGGAACAGAAGAAACAUGCAUUAAAAGAAGAGAUGCAGAGCUUGCAAGGUGGCACAGAAGCCAUUGCCCUUUUGGAUCAGUUAGAAGCAGAUUAUUAUGAUCUGCAACUUCAGUUGUAUGAAGUACAGUUUGAGAUCUUGAAGUGUGAGGAGUUAUUGCUAACAGCUCAACUUGAAAGCAUCAAGAGACUUGUAUCAGAAAAAAGAGAUGAAGUAGUGUAUUAUGACACUUAUGAAAGCAUGGAGGCAAUGCUUGAAAAGGAAGAGAUGGCAGCAUCUCUACAUCUACAGCGGGAAGAGUUGCAGAAACUUCAACAGAAAGCUCGGCAGUUGGAAGCAAGGCGUGGGCGUGUGUCAGCCAAGAAAGCCUACCUCAGAAACAAAAAGGAAAUCUGUAUUGCAAAGCACAGUGAAAAAUUCCAGCAACGCCUUCGGAGUGAAGAUGAAUACAGGACACAUCAUUCAGUACAGCUAAAAAGAGAAAAGUUACAAGAUGAAGAAGAAAGAAAAAGCACCUGGGUUAGCCAAGAAAGACAGAAGACACUAGACAGACUUCGCACAUUUAAGCAGCGGUACCCUGGACAAGUCAUACUUAAGUCAACACGACUUCGUCUAGCUCAUGCAAGGAGAAAAAGUGUUGUUAGCCCAGUGUCUGGUGUAGAUCAGUCUCAGUCCCUACCAAUAACCCUAAGGACAGAAGAGAAAACUGAAGAGGGGGAACGAGGAAAAGAGGUGCUUAAAUCUUUACAAACCAAGGAACCCCAGAGACUGGCACAGCUUGAAGAGCCUUCAUUAGCACAACUUGAAGCUACUUCGUUACCUCCCAGUGGUGUUACCUCUGAACUGCCUCAUGUUACACCUCUUCCACUUCUUACUGAUAAUGACCUGAUACCAGGUACUGUUACUGUUGUCCCACUCCCACCACCUCUUCCUCCAACUCCUCCUCCACCACCCCCACCACCGCCCCCGCCACCCCCACCCCCUCUACCUACUUCUAAGGACGGUCCCACAGAGUCCCUGGAGAAAGGCCUUUCUAAAGUGGAAGGUGAAGAGAAGAGAAUCCCAAAGUCUGCCAGUGCCCCCACAGCACAUUUCUUUGACAGUAAUCAGCUGGUUAGUGCCAGGAAGAAACUUAAAAAAACUGCUGAAGGUUUGCAACGGAGAAGAGUGAGUUCACCAAUGGAUGAAGUACUGGCUUCUUUGAAACGUGGUAGUUUUCAUCUGAAAAAGGUUGAACAACGAACUCUGCCUCCUUUUCCUGAUGAAGAUGAUAGUAAUAACAUCUUGGCACAGAUAAGGAAAGGGGUGAAACUGAAGAAGGUACAGAAGGAAGUUUUGAGAGAGUCCUUCACACUUUUGCCUGAUACAGACCCACUAACACGUAGCAUUCAUGAAGCACUUCGAAGAAUUAAAGAAGCUUCACCAGAAUCUGAGGAUGAAGAAGAGAGUUUGCCUUGCACAGAUUGGGAAAACUAACAUGUAAAUGGUCCUGUCUUUGUCAAAAACAUUUUCAGUUGUUUUUUUUUUCUUUCUUUCUUUAUUUGGGGGCAGGGAUAAGGGUGAUUCAAAUUGGGUUAUAAUUUGGGUUAAUUAUAUUGUUUACCACUUUCUCACAACAUUGUGUCAUGAAUAAUAAAACUUUUUACAUUUAUGCAUUCCUUAAAUCAGUGCAUCAGAGAAGUAAGUUUUUGAGAUCUAAACACCUCUUUCUAACAGAGGUUGAAUGAUCCCUACAGUACAGCUGUUUCCUUGGUAAUAUACCUUAUAAAAGUGAAACAAACUUACAGAUUAAGUCAUCAGCACAUUCUAAAUGUGGACUUUUUUUUUUCCAAUUUUUCAGUGUUUCUGACUUGAAGAAAUUGACAGUCACUAUUUCAGGCUAAAUAAUCUCAAAUCAGAAAAAAAAAAGGGCAUUCUAUACGCAAUGAACUUUUAACAUUACCCUCCCAAGGAGUCACUUUUCUAAUAGUAUAUCUUGCCUAGGUCAUGGAAACAAGCUAAUAAUAGUUGCUUCUGUAUUUUUCACACAGAUUUGUAGGCAGUAUAGCAAAUUACUUGAUAAUUGCCAAUAGAAAACAUGUUAAGAAAUUCACCUAAGGAUUUCUCUUUUUGUGGUGGUGGUAGUAGUAGGGAGGUGUUAUUAUGAGUUGAACCACAAAUAACAGCUAAAAUUAAGAAAGGAAAUUAUCUCAUGUUUAAAAUAGUAAUAUAGCCCCAUGCAUUUUAUUUGGUCUUAUUAACAUUUUUUUAAUAGCUGAUUGGUUGUUUGGUUUUUAGCCACUUCCUAUUCACAAAUAUAAUAGGUGCUAUGCCUUUGUCUUUAUCUAGCACUUUGAUUAAAAAUGUUGACCAGAACAGGACCAACCACAGAGCCUUCUAGCCCAACGUUAGAGACACUCCCUACUCCAAAUGGAUGUUGAUCCAUAAUAAUGAUGGUGGUAACACAUCUAGGUGACUUAACAGCCACUGAGAGGAAAAAUAAUGCCCACAGUUGAAGAUUAUCUUCCUACUCCUUUGGGGGAAAUUUGUAAGCAUUUUGAUGGUGCAGUCUAACCUGCAUUAAUUCAGUGUGUGAAAAGGGAAGCUAUUUCCUAGGCCAUCUUCCUGAUUCUAUCCAUCCCAGCACAGAGAGGUUAAAGUGAAUUUUAGAUGUGCAGUGGAUGGAAUCUUAACAAAGAGAAUGUCUCUAGGAUACCCUCCCACUUUUUUUUCAAAGCACUUUUUUCAUUUACAUCAAUAGAGUGGCCAGUUAAAGUUAGAAGAAUGCUGUGGCAUUGAUGAACAUCUACUGUGAGUUGUAUCAGGACUGCUAUGAAAUCUGCCCUUCAGUGCACUGAGAAAUACAG